GCGCGUCUUUAAUUUUUUCGGGAGAAGCACGUGUAUACCGCGUUUCUUUAAAUUAUUUCCCGCGUUUUGCUGUUUGACGUGUUCUUUUGACGUGCUGAUUUUGUGGGAGGAUACAUCGCUGACAUGCCAUUAUUUUUAAAGUGUGGGAAGAGAGGAGGGCAAGAAGGCAGCCAUCUUCUUUACGAAUGUCUUUUUGACAGAAAUGUUUGGGACGUAUUUGUAACAGAACACAGAAAAAAAAGAUUCUUACCUGGAAAUUUUUCGUAUUUACGACGCAUUCGGUUUGGAUUAACAAAGUUGUUGGUAAAUUUCGAUAAAUCGAUGCCAUUGUUUUCCAGGUAUUCUAUGACAACCGUAUUUCCAGUGGUGCCAGGAAUGCCAUACUUUCGUGCCAAUUCAGAAUAAUUUAUCUAAAAUUUAUAAAAAUUAUCCGUGUGUUAAUGAAUAUUGUAAGUACUGUUUACAGAAUAUUAUAUUCGUAACUACCUUUGAACCAUCUUCCAUAUGCUUUACUUCUUCUAACAGUGCAUUUCUGUCAAAAUUAAUUUUAUUCGUGUCUGGACUAUGCCUCUUUUUCUUCAUUGGUGUAUCAUCUGUUUGAGAUUGCAGUGAUUGUUUUCUUCCUAAAAAGAUGUUUGUUUGUUUGUUUGUUUAAUUUGGUUUGUUUAUUAUAUAUUAUGUUUUAAACAUUUUUUUAGUUCUUUCAUUCCUGCUAAAAAGUGUGUAACGUUUGUUUUUGUACAAAAAUUGUAAAAAAUCAUACAGCCCAGUAUAGUUCUAACUUGUUCUAAAAUUAGUUUUACAUAUGUUGGAAACAGUUGCUGUACAUAUAUUUAUAGAUGUAUAUAUAUAUAUAUAUAUAUAUAAAAUAUGUAUUUAUAACAUUGCUCUAAUAUUGGAUAAAAAAUAAAUAAAUUUGUUCUUACCAAUCAUUCUUUCAACUGCUUUUUCUUUAUUCUCAAGAUACUGAAUGGAUCUUGAUUUUUUGUAGGUAGAUUUGGACUGUCUGAUUCCCAAAAUCGUAUCCAUGACUUUGCCUUGACCAAAACAUUUUUUUUCCAGGCAUUUUUUAAUUUUUGUAUUUUUUUGCCUUAACUCUCUUUUCUUUUCGCAAUUUGUUUUUACUUCCGCAACGUUAGCUGAUUUCCCUUUCGUCAAAAUUUUAGUAAAUGGUGUAUCAAAUAUUUUAUCCCAUUUGUCAUUGACACUGUCAAAAACAAACUCGGCUGCUCCUUUCAUAUAUGAAAUGUCAUUUUUUGUGUGCGGAAUUUCGAGAAUAAUAUUUAUUGGUGUAUCUGGUGUAUUUGUGAUAUCAGCGAAGGGUGUUUUCAACGGAUUAGGUUUUUUGCGUCUGUGUGUUGUUGAAAUUGGAAAUGUAUUUAUAUCGGCUUUAAGUGAACUGCAUCCUACA